UUUCCGUAGGUGAACCUGCGGAAGGAUCAUUACAGUAGUCACCCAGGUUGCCGCAAGGCCUCCUGGGUAACCUACCACCCUUUGUUUAUUACACUUUGUUGCUUUGGCAAGCCUGCCCUCGGGCUGCUGGCUCCGGCCGGCGAGCGCUUGCCAGAGGACCUAAACUCUGUUUGUCUAUACUGUCAGAGUACUAUAUAAUAGUUAAAACUUUCAACAACGGAUCUCUUGGUUCUA
rnacentral:misc_RNA from 1 species